GACGAACGCUGGCGGCGUGCUUAACACAUGCAAGUCGAACGAGAAUCUGCGGAAAGAGGAUUCGUCCAAUUGAAGCAGAGGACAGUGGCGGACGGGUGAGUAACGCGUGAGGAACCUGCCUUUCAGAGGGGGACGAACAGUUGGAAACGACUGCUAAUACCGCAUGACACAUCGGAGUCGCAUGGCUCUGAUGUCAAAGAUUUAUCGCUGAAAGAUGGCCUCGCGUCUGAUUAGCUAGUUGGUGAGGUAACGGCCCACCAAGGCGACGAUCAGUAGGGGUUCUGAGAGGAAGGUCCCCCACAUUGGAACUGAGACACGGUCCAAACUCCUACGGGAGGCAGCAGUGAGGAAUAUUGGUCAAUGGGCGAGAGCCUGAACCAGCCAAGUCGCGUGGAGGAAGACGGCCCUACGGGUUGUAAACUCCUUUUACCUGGGGAAUAACGGGCGCUACGCGUAGCGCUGUGCAU
rnacentral:rRNA from 1 species